rnacentral:rRNA from 1 species
UAGGGAAUCUUCCACAAUGGACGAAAGUCUGAUGGAGCAACGCCGCGUGAGUGAAGAAGGGUUUCGGCUCGUAAAACUCUGUUGUUAAAGAAGAACAUAUCUGAGAGUAACUGUUCAGGUAUUGACGGUAUUUAACCAGAAAGCCACGGCUGACUACGUGCUAG